rnacentral:tRNA from 1 species
GCCGGUUUAGCUUAGUGGUAGAGCGUCAGUCUCGUAAACUGAAGGUUGGCGGUUCAAUCCCGCCAUUCGGCU